rnacentral:rRNA from 1 species
GAUGAACGCUGGCGGCGUGCCUAACACAUGCAAGUCGAACGGAAAGACCCUGAGUUUGUGCUGUUCUCGGUUGCGGAAGGCGGGAGUAUCACGUGUGUAUCCUGCCCUUGUCUUUCGGGGAACUUCACGAAACUGGGGCUAAUAUAGUAUAGGAUCUCCUGCACCGUGGUGGGCGUUGGAUAGUCUCGGCUGUUGGGGAUGGACUAGCGGCUUACUAGCUUGUUGGUGGGGUAGAUGCUGACCAAGGCUACGACGGGUAGCCGGCCUGAGAGGGUGAUCGGCCACACUGGAACUGAGACACGGUCAAGACUCCUACGGGAGGCAGCAGUAGGGAAUGUUGGGCAAUGGGCGGAAGCCUGACACAGCGAGCCCGCGUGUGUGAAGAAGGCCUCCGGUGCGUAAAGCCCUCUUGUUGGGUAAGAACAGCUGUCGCCUGAGACGAAGCGGUAGUGACGGUACCGAGUAAAGAAGCACCGGCUAACUACGUG